rnacentral:rRNA from 1 species
CGAAAGCCUGACGGAGCAAGACCGCGUGAGGGAGGAAGGCUCUUGGGUUGUAAACCUCUUUUCUCAGGGAAGAAGCUCUGACGGUACCUGAGGAAUCAGCCUCGGCUAACUCCGUGCCAGCAGCCGCGGUAAUACGGAGGAGGCAAGCGUUAUCCGGAAUUAUUGGGCGUAAAGCGUCCGUAGGUGGUUAUUCAAGUCUGCUGUCAAAGCGUGGGGCUUAACUCCAUAGAGGCAGUGGAAACUGAGUGACUAGAGUGCGGUAGGGGUCGAGGGAAUUCCCAGUGUAGCGGUGAAAUGCGUAGAUAUUGGGAAGAACACCAGUGGCGAAAGCGCUCGACUGGGCCUGCACUGACACUGAGGGACGAAAGCUAGGGGAGCG